AUGGGGAGGGGCGCCCCUCUGGGCAGGAUGGGUGUGCCAUAUACUGGAGGGGGGCGGGGUGUGGGUCUGGCAGGGCUGCCAGACCUGCUGCCUUGGGUGUUUGCUAGGCUGGGGUCUGAGCUUGAUUGCAAUCACAGGGACUCAAGGCAGCUUCACGGGGCUCUGUCCAACCUCCUGCACAGACCUGCACACACACACACACACACGCUGUCAGGGGGCCCUCCUGCCCACGGAAGCUCACUCCUGGAAACCCAGACCACACGCCUAGCUGGGAUGUCCCUAGGGAGAGUGACAGGGAUGGUGAGGGUCACCCCAACCCCCGGUGCUGUGCACAUGCUGUCUCUGCACCCCACCCCAAACAGCAGAGGCGGGAAGGAUGGGGCUCAGAAAAGCCAAGAGAUUGCCCAAGGACACACAGCUGCUGCCGGGCAGAGCUGGCUGGGAGCUCACACAUCGCCCCCAGCACCCAGUAGCUCAGGAAGCCCCCUGACAAGUGAGCGUAUCCACAUGGGUGUUCUGUUUUCCAAAGACUUGCAUUUGUAUUUAUUUGAAAGGCAGGGAGACAGACUGAGGUCUUCCAUCCCCUGGCUCACUCCCCAAAAGCCCCCGGGGCCGGGCCGAGCUGAAGCCAGGAACUUCAUAUGGGUCUGCAUUAGCAGGAAGCUGUAUGGGAAUCGGAACGAGGACUCGAACCCAGGCACUCUGGGAUGGGAUGCAGGUGUCCGGAGUGGCACUGUAAUCACUGCACCAAAUGCCCCGCCCCUACAUAGGACGGCUCAUACACUCAGCAGGGCCCCUUUCCCCAAACUCCGCCUGUGGAGAGCCCUUCGGGCACCAGCCUCAGUUUCCCUCGGCUCUGGGGCCCACACACCAGAGCAAGCCCUUCCUGCUUGGAGGAGACCCAUAGCACUGGCCAGGCCUGGCCCUGCCCCCCAGCAGCCCGGCGCGCGCGCGCGCACACACGCCGCCCCCAGGGAGCGCAGGCCUUGCUGCAGGGCAGCGAGUGAAGCCGGCUGUAACAGAGAAACCUCGGGCUCCUCUUUAGAAGUCCCCGGAGGAGGCAGAUCUGAGGAAAGGCUGCGGGGAAGGCGCCUGCAGCAAUGUCAGCUGGAGAACAGGCCGGCUGACAGGAUGCUGAGCGGGGAUUAA
rnacentral:lncRNA from 1 species